UACCCUUAACAUUUUCUCUUUCAUUUUUCCAAUAUGCAAAAGGUGAACGCGCUCUGUCUUCUUCGUUCUCUCUGAAAACCCUAGCGCCGCCGUCGAACAUCCUUCUGCCUCUCCCUCCGUCACCUCACCUCCAAUCGAAGAUAGGAGGUCAUUUUUGUGCUCAUCAUCACGUGACCUUUAACUGGAACCAGUUGGAUUUUUGUAUUAGACAAUGUCACUUCCAGCCACCCUCUCACUACCUCCGGCCGCCGCGACUCUAGACGAUGAACGAGAGCCUUUUCUGCUCCGUUCAUAUUUCAGCAAAUAGCAAGAAAAGUUAUGCAACCUGUUUUCACUAGCUAAGCCCUCCACCUCUUGCUUCUGAGGUUAGUGAAAAAUCUUUGUGAUGUUCCCAAAGAGAAAACUAUGUUAAUGGAGAAAAGCUCUAAUGGUUCAAUUGGUUCUCUAGGAGAGAAAGCUGUAGUGUUUUGUUUUCUCAGUGGACGGGAUGCUAGAUUUACUUGAAAAGUGUCUUAAUUCAGUAUAGAAAACUUGAUGGAACAAUGUUUUGGUAAGCUUGAUUUAUUGUCUUUCUCGUCUUUAAUUUUACCUCAUUUAUGAGUCUGUUUUACAUUGUAAUUGGUUAGGUGUAUUGCAAUUCUUAAGCUUUUUUGUAUUGUGUGUGAAGGAGUCAGCAUCACGAAGUUGGAUGCUAUAAUGAAUUAUCACUGACAGGAUAAUGUUGAAUGUUCUGAUACAAGUUGUGUGGUGCAGUGUUCGACGUCACUGAUCCUGAAAUGUUCUAUACUAAGAAGGUAAUGUUGAAUAUUUACCAUUUGACAUACAAAAUUGAAACUUACUAUAUUUAUAUUUAUCUGCUUGCCGCGAUUCAAGUUCUUGUGUUACAAUUGCGACAGAUAGCAACUCGGUGGUAUAGGGCACCUGAAGUUUUGUUUCAUAACAGUCAAUAUUCAACUCCAAUUGAUAUUUGGACCGUGGGCUCAUCAUAUUGGGGAUGGGGGAGAGUCUUGUUUUUGGGGUGACUGUUGAGUGGGUGGAGUCGAGCUUAAAAUGAGUUCAAGCUUUGAUGAAAAUUAAGAACUCUUUGAUGGAUCCUUACCAAAUCUUCAAACUGUAGGUAAAACUUGUAGGUGUUCCGGAAAUGAACUAUACAUCUGAUGAUCAGCCGAACCCCCGUGGUGAAAUUUGUAUUAGGGGUCCCAUUAUUUUUCAAGGAUAUUACAAAGAUGAAGUUCAAACGUAACCACUUCGCUUGUUCUAUGGUUCUUGUUAAUUUGAGUUACCAUGGCGUAUUUACAGUGUUCCUGAUUUUUGUUUAUUUGAAAAACUAACUAAAUUGUUGAAGAUGUAUGGUGAUCGGGUGGAAAGUGGAGCGAGGAGGAGGUCUGUCAAGGAACGUCAUGAUGGGAGCAUCAGUGUAUCUACUUGGCAGCAACGCCAAGUCACCGGCAAGAGGAACAAGAAUGAAGAGGAUGAUUCCAUUAUGAUGAUGAAGGCUGCCCAAUUCUCAUCUCAUUAAACUUGAAUUCUAUAUACUCACUUAAUGGAGUCUAGUGAUCUUGUUUUAGGGAUGCAUGGAAUUGGUGUUGAGAUUGGUUACUUUGUUUUAAAGUCACUCUUUUUUACUAUCUAAUGUCCUGAUGUUUAUAAUUUUGUAGAAUUUUUAUAGUAACUUGUUCUAUGAAUUUGUCUUAUAUAAAUUCAAAAAUUUUAAAUUAAAAUUAUCUUUUUAU